UUUCUUUUUAUUUUUUUUAGCAAAAUCAUAUUGAAUAAUUCAAAUCCUUGGGAAGAUAACAUCAACUAGAAGCAAAAUUCAUUCUCAGGGAACAACCACAAAAUGAAAAUGAAAAAAGAAUGCAAUGUAUGGAUCUUGCAACUCAUUGAGCUUUGACGUGCUGCAAAACAACAUUGUAGGCUUCAUGUUCCUCCCCAAAAUCCUUGAUCACCACACAGGAGCAGCCGAAUUACUUUUGCACCUUCAUGGAGGUCACGUGCAAUACCACCGUAUGCUAGUGACUUCCUGAGCAAAAGUUGAAAGGGGGUCACGAUGUCCAUUGGCUCGUUUGGAAUUUCAGCACCAGCGGUGGAAACAGGCUCAACUGCAACGACAGCGUCCUCACCUGACAUUUUCCUUGUAGAUAUGAAAAAAUAAGCUAUUUUUUUAUGUUUGUGGCUUCCGACGAAGAACUCCGGCGGCGUUGAGUUCAGUGAGACUACAAAUUCCAAUCCAACCGAGUUGUAACAACGGAUAGAGAACCAAGGGUGAAGAAAGAUCAUGCCAUAGUGAGAGAAAGAGAGAAGUAACAACGCAGGGAAGGGUUUGAGGGCACGGUGGUGGUGAGGGUAUUGGGAAGAGCAUCGUGUUCUCUGAGAGAAGAUAGAAGAGGAUGAAAGAGAGUUGGUUUGUGAGGUGAAAUGACCAAGAUAGCCCUAAUGAGUAGUGCCACAUGGGAGUGUAUAUUGGAGGUGGGGAGUGGUUAUGGUGUAUAAGGAAAUCCUUAUGCACCAUGCAUAAAUCCCAACAUAAUUGCUUCCUACACCCCCAAAGUGAGCCAAAAUUAUUUUUGUUCAAAAUGAAAGAAAUCUGAUGGUUGUGAUGUGUUUAUGCACGGUGCAUAUGGAAAUGGCUUAUGCACUAUAACUUUUGCCUUGGAGGUGUACAAGAAAGGGUGUUCAUGAAUAAUUGUUC
rnacentral:lncRNA from 1 species